GCAGGUAACAGAUUCAACUACCCAGCUGAAGCUCCAUGACUGAUUUGACAGCCAAUCCUACCCCUGCCCUAGUCUGCAUGGACAUGGGAAAAAGUCAGUAGACUGGAAAAAGAAAUAGAGAAAAAAAAAAAGGAACACUUAGCUGGCAGAAAUGGAAAAAAUAAUAGAACAAAAGACACCCCAAGAAAAGUGAAGAAGAAAGUUAAAAACUCA
rnacentral:lncRNA from 1 species